rnacentral:rRNA from 1 species
UACGGGGGGGGCAAGCGUUGUUCGGAAUUACUGGGCGUAAAGGGCUCGUAGGCGGCCAACUAAGUCGGACGUGAAAUCCCUCGGCUUAACCGGGGAACUGCGUCCGAUACUGGAUGGCUUGAGUUCGGGAGAGGUGAGUGGAACUCCGAGUGUAGAGGUGAAAUUCGUAGAUAUUCGGAAGAACACCAGUGGCGAAGGCGACUCACUGGCCCGAUACUGACGCUGAGGAGCGAAAGCGUGGGGAGCGAACGAGG